GACUGUGCUAAGGUAGCAUAAUCAUUUGGCCUUUAAUUGGGGUCUAGUAUGAAAGGAUUUAAUUAAGGGAGUCUGUCUUUUUAGCAUUAAAAUUAACUUAAUUAGAAGGUGAAAAUGCCUUCGAUAAUAAGAAAGACGAGAAGACCCUUAGACUUAUUCACAAAAUUAUAUAGUACUAUAUAAAUACGUUUUUGCUGGGGCGGCAAAGCUUCAAAAUAAACAAGCUUCAAUAUAUUUACAUAAAACAAAUAUUAGUUCUUUAAAGUUAAGUACCUAAGGGAUAACAGCAUUAUUAAUUAUUUAGAUUGUGACCUCGAUGUUGGACUAGGA
rnacentral:rRNA from 1 species